AACGCUAGCUACAGGCUUAACACAUGCAAGUCGAGGGGCAGCACAGUGUAGCAAUACAUGGGUGGCGACCGGCGCACGGGUGCGUAACGCGUAUCCAACCUUCCCGAUACUCUUGGAUAGCCUUCCGAAAGGGAGAUUAAUACAAGAUGGUGUUUCACUUUCGCAUGUUAUUGAAACUAAAGAUUUAUCGGUAUCGGAUGGGGAUGCGUGACAUUAGGUAGAUGGCGGGGUAACGGCCCACCAUGCCUACGAUGUCUAGGGGUUCUGAGAGGAAGGUCCCCCACACUGGAACUGAGACACGGUCCAGACUCCUACGGGAGGCAGCAGUGAGGAAUAUUGGUCAAUGGUCGGAAGACUGAACCAGCCAAGUAGCGUGAAGGAUGAAGGUUCUAUGGAUUGUAAACUUCUUUUAUACGGGAAUAAAACCUCCCACGUGUGGGAGCUUGUAUGUACCGUAUGAAUAAGCAUCGGCUAACUCCGUGCCAGCAGCCGCGGUAAUACGGAGGAUGCGAGCGUUAUCCGGAUUUAUUGGGUUUAAAGGGAGCGUAGACGGGGGAUUAAGUCAGUUGCGAAAGGCUGCGGCUCAACCGCAGCACUGCAGUUGAUACUGGUUUCCUUGAGUGCGGUUGAGGUGUAUGGAAUUCGUGGUGUAGCGGUGAAAUGCUUAGAUAUCACGAAGAACUCCGAUUG
rnacentral:rRNA from 1 species